rnacentral:lncRNA from 1 species
CUUUCAACCUGGCUGCUUCCUCACGCUUCCUCUGUUCCUCCUCCUUUCUAGCAGCCUCCAGCUCCUGAGCAGUUUGCAGUUGCUCGGCCUCUUUUGGCUCAUCAACCGCACUCAUCUCCCUUUGAAUUGGUUUCAGAGGUUCUUUCGUCUUCUCAAUCGGGUUCAUUUUUUCUUCUGCUACACUCAUCUCUCUUUGUAGUGGUUUCGGAGCUUCUUUCGUUUUCUCAAUCGGAUUCAUUUUUUCUACUGGUUGCAGCGUGAUUUUGUCAUCCUUAAUUUCAUCCUUUAAAACUACUGCUUGAUUUUCUUGCUGAGAGACCGGCGCUUGUGAUACAAAAUUAACUUUAU